rnacentral:rRNA from 1 species
GAUGAACGCUGGCGGCGUGCCUAAUACAUGCAAGUCGAGCGAACGGACGAGAAGCUUGCUUCUCUGAUGUUAGCGGCGGACGGGUGAGUAACACGUGGACAACCUACCUAUAAGACUGGGAUAACUUCGGGAAACCGGAGCUCAUACCGGAUAAUAUUUUGAACAGCAUGGUUCAAAAGUGAAAGACGGUCUUGCUGUCACUUAUAGAUGGAUCCGCGCUGCAUUAGCUAGUUGGUAAGGUAACGGCUUACCAAGGCAACGAUGCAUAGCCGACCUGAGAGGGUGAUCGGCCACACUGGAACUGAGACACGGUCCAGACUCCUACGGGAGGCAGCAGUAGGGAAUCUUCCGCGAUGGGCGAAUGCCUGACGGAGCAACGCCGCGUGAGUGAUGAAGGUCUUCGGAUCGUAGAACUCUGUUAUUAGUGAAGAACAUAUGUGUAAGUAACUGUGCACAUCUUGACGGUACCUAAUCAGAAAGCCACGGCUAACUACGUG